rnacentral:rRNA from 1 species
UACGUAGGGUGCGAGCGUUGUCCGGAAUUACUGGGCGUAAAGAGCUCGUAGGUGGUUUGUCGCGUUGUUCGUGAAAUCUCACGGCUUAACUGUGAGCGUGCGGGCGAUACGGGCAGACUAGAGUACUGCAGGGGAGACUGGAAUUCCUGGUGUAGCGGUGGAAUGCGCAGAUAUCAGGAGGAACACCGGUGGCGAAGGCGGGUCUCUGGGCAGUAACUGACGCUGAGGAGCGAAAGCGUGGGGAGCGAACAGGAUUAGAUACCCUGGUAGUCCACGCCGUAAACGGUGGGUACUAGGUGUGGGUUUCCUUCCUUGGGAUCCGUGCCGUAGCUAACGCAUUAAGUACCCCGCCUGGGGAGUACGGCCGCGAGG